CAAUAGCGUAUAUUUAAGUUGUUGCGGUUAAAAAGCUCGUAGUUGGAUUUCGGAUGGGAUUUGCCGGUCCGUCGUUACGAUGUGCACUGGCUAGUCCUAUCUUGUUGUCGGGGACUAGCUCCUUGGAUUCACUUCCUGGGACUAGGAGCUGACGAGGUUACUUUGAGUAAAUUGAGUGUUCAAAGCAAGCCUACGCUCUGAAUACAUUAGCAUGGAAUAACACGAUAGGACUCUGGCUUAUCUUGUUGGUCUGUGAGACCAGAGUAAUGAUUAAGAGGGACAGUCGGGGACAUUCGUAUUUCAUUGUCAGAGGUGAAAUUCUUGGAUUUAUGAAAGACGAACUUCUGCGAAAGCAUUUGUCAAGGAUGUUUUCAUUAA
rnacentral:rRNA from 1 species